CUCUUUCAUUUUUCUUAUCAUUUUCUAUCUGCAGUCUCCACCUGCUCAUCCUUUGAGGUCGUAAGGUAAACCCACCGCACCCCACUUCCCUACCUCCCCAAACCCCCCAAGCCACUCCUUCACUGACUCCUGACCCUGACCCUUGCUUCCUUGCAACCUCGCCCCACCCUCCCCUGUCCCUGCCCAGCCCUGCAACUCCCUUCCGAGGAUCUGUUUUAACAGAUUUAUCAUCAGUUUCACGCAGCGUGGUUCAUAUCGCACUAAAAUCCGCUGCACUUUCAUUUCCCUGUAGAUUCAUAUAUGGAUCCACCAAAUUGAAGGUCUUGCAGCCAGGAGUAUACUAUCUUAGCCACGUAGAUUCUGGUUUGUGACAUCUGCGGAUGCAAUGGGUGGACCAACACAUAGAAUAUUGAUGGUGUCCGAUUUUUUCUACCCCAACUUUGGUGGUGUGGAGAAUCACAUUUAUUAUCUAUCACAAUGCUUGCUUAAGCUUGGUCACCGGGUGGUGGUCCUGACUCAUGCCUAUGGAAACCGCUGUGGGGUGCGAUAUAUGACUGGUGGUUUGAAAGUUUAUUAUAUACCUUGGAGGCCAUUCCUGAUGCAGAACACAUUACCGACAAUUUACGGGACACUUCCGAUUUUAAGGACAAUUCUCAUUCGAGAAAAGAUAUCUUUGGUUCAUGGACAUCAAGCCUUCUCAACUCUUUGUCAUGAAGCUUUGAUGCAUGCAUGCACCAUGGGAUACAAAGUUGUGUUUACUGAUCAUUCACUCUAUGGAUUUGCUGAUGUCGGAAGUGUCCACAUGAAUAAGGUACUGCAGUUCACAUUGGCAGAUGUGAAUCAGGCUAUAUGUGUUUCUCAUACAAGCAAGGAAAAUACAGUCCUGAGAUCAGGUUUACCCCCACAGAAGGUCUUUGUAAUACCAAAUGCUGUGGACACAGCUAUGUUUAAACCCGCAACAAGUAGACUCAGCUACGAUAAAAUUAUUAUAGUUGUGGUAAGUAGGCUGGUUUACCGGAAGGGUGCAGAUUUGCUUGUUGAAGUCAUUCCCGAAGUUUGCCGCCUGUGCCCAAAUGUUCACUUUAUUAUUGGAGGAGAGGGACCAAAACGAGUACGACUGGAAGAGAUGAGGGAAAAACACUCUCUACAGGAUCGUGUUGAAAUGUUGGGGGCUGUUCCUCAUGCUCAAGUGCGGACUGUCCUGAUUUCUGGUCACAUAUUCUUAAACAGCUCUCUGACAGAAGCAUUUUGUAUAGCCAUAUUGGAGGCUGCUAGUUGUGGAUUGCUUACUGUCAGUACACGAGUCGGAGGUGUCCCAGAGGUUCUACCUGAUGACAUGGUUGUCUUGGCAGAACCAGUGCCAAGUAACAUGGUACGGGCAAUCAAAAAGGCAAUACACAUGCUCCCCCAGAUUGACCCACGAGAGAUGCACCUCCGUAUGAAAGAGCUAUACAGUUGGCAUGAUGUUGCUAGAAGAACAGAGGUGGUAUAUGACCGUGCAUUAAAAUGCUCUGAUGAGAAUCUUCUGGAGCGACUCUCACGGUACCUCACAUGUGGUGCAUGGGCAGGGAAACUUUUUUGUUUGGUAAUGAUCAUUGAUUUCUUGCUAUGGCAUUUAUUGAAACUAUGGCAGCCAGCAGAGGAUAUAGAGGAGGUACCUGAUAUCAAGCAUUCUCCUUUUAUCAAGACGAAGGUUAUGUUUGGUGAUUCCAUUAAGGACUAACAAAUUGCCAUCAUUGGACUAGUUGCCUGACUUUUACCAUUCUGGUCGAUCUGAUAAAACAGUUUUCAUUCUGUGCUUGACAAAUAUGAACUUAGAAGUGCUUAUAUAUCGGUCCUACGCUAUUGUAAAUCUCAUAUUUGCUAGUGCAAACUUACUGACGGGGUCCAUAUUAUUGAAAGGCAUUCUUCUAUUUGUUUUUUUCUUUUCCCCCUGGACCUGGCAGUGGCUAGUCUAAAAGUGGGAAGCUUGAAAUGUCUGCGGGUGUGAGAUUCUUUUGGAGAACUUGCAUAAAUUUCCUGCUGGAUUUGGGAGAUGGCAUAAAUUACAAAGUGUUCGACCAGUACUGUGUUACAGGGAUUAGGGAUAACUCCUGGUAGGUAGUUGCAGCAAAGUGCCGUAGUAAUAUGGAUUAAGGAUUACCCCUGAUCGUUAGUUGCAGCAAAAGGGUUCAUUUCAGUCAUGUAUCACUGCAAGAAAAGUGAUUUUUGGCUACGGAGCAGGGUUUCUUCUCAAGUUUCCAAACAAAGUUUUGAUGGAGUUAAAUUUCCCCUAUGAGUCUCUACUGCAAAUUUUGGACCUCGUUUGGUGAAAUCAGUUCUCCACUUUGAAGAGCUAAGGCGUUUCUUUCUAUUUAUUUGUUCAGCACACCCCCAACCCCCCUUCCUGCAAACACAAAUGUAAAUAGUUUGCCAUCCUCAAGUGGUAAUUGCAGGGAGUGAAAACAUAGAACUCAUGGGUUUGCCUUUUCUUCCUUUUAUAAAUGUAAUUCUUUUGGGCCUGUCAUUCUUC